rnacentral:rRNA from 1 species
AGCAGUCGCCGCGGUAAAACGGAGGGUGCAAGCGUUAUCCGGAUUUAUUGGGUUUAAAGGGUCCGUAGGCGGAUCUGUAAGUCAGUGGUGAAAUCUCACAGCUUAACUGUGAAACUGCCAUUGAUACUGCAGGUCUUGAGUAAAUUUGAAGUGGCUGGAAUAAGUAGUGUAGCGGUGAAAUGCAUAGAUAUUACUUAGAACACCAAUUGCGAAGGCAGGUCACUAAGAUUUAACUGACGCUGAUGGACGAAAGCGUGGGGAGCGAACAGGAUUAGAUACCCCAGUAGUCCCUGUCUCUUAUAC